rnacentral:rRNA from 1 species
UUGGGAAUCUUGCACAAUGGGGGCAACCCUGAUGCCGCGACGCCGCGUGGAGGAUGAAGGGUCUAGGCCUGUAAACUCCUUUUCUCGGGAAAGACUUAGGACGGUACCCGAGGACUAAGCCCCGGCUAACUACGUGCCAGCAGCCGCGGUAAGACGUAGGGGGCGAGCGUUGUCCGGAUUUACUGGGCGUAAAGCGCGCGUAGGCGGUCCGUUAAGUGCACAAGUGAAAGCUCCAGACUCAACUUGGAAAUUGCUUUGCAUACUGGCGGGCUGGAGGGACGCAGAGGUCUGUGGAAUUCCUGGUGUAACGGUGAAAUGUGUUGAUAUCAGGAGGAACACCCAUGGCGAAGGCAGCAGACUGGGCGUUUCCUGACGCUGAGGCGCGAAAGCGUGGGUAGCAAACA